UCCCCUCCAAGAAUAGCAUUUGAUGUGUGAGUGCAUAUCCUUCUCUUCUUCUUCUUCUUCUCGAUUUGAUGCGUGCGUGCGUGCUGUUGUGUGCAGGCCCGACUCAUCUCUGCUUGUGCACAACAAGGAAGGCCAUGGAGACGCUGCUCCCUAUAUUCAGCGCGUGGACGGACGAUGCAGCGUUGGGGAUGACUCAUGGCUGCCUCCGUUUGUGCAGGUGACUCAUGGCCACCCCCUCUCUCAACCCCCAGAUCUGACUCCCUCCUCCACCCCCUCUCUCAACCUCUAGAUUCAACACAAGUAUUCAUUGUUGUAUUUUUAUUUUUACUAUGUCUCUGAACCAUCUGGAUGAUGAACUAUGUACUGUAAUUUUUAGUUUGUCGCAAGAACGUGAACCUAAUUUUUAGUCUGUCUAAAUCACGUGCAGAUUGGGUACUCUGGAGCACAUGGGAGGAGGAGAAGGAUGGGAGGUGUGUAGAAUUCGGCGCCAAGGGAGACGAUCGAGAUGGUGGAGCAGAAUCCAGAGGACGACGGGAGACCAGAUAGAGGAGAGACAACACCCGGAUAUCGGGCAGUGAAUGCACACAAUGCAAGGAUACUUUAAACAAAUACAAGUAUCAUCCAUAUGAAGGUCAUCGGGCGUUUGGAAGAGAAGAAUGAUGCAUAUAUCAUCUCAGUUCAGGUCGCUGGAGUUGUUUGGUUUUUCUUCUCAUGUGGAUGCUCCAUACUGUAAACUACGCUCUGUACUUGGAGACAAUCACCAAGUCCUUUUUUGUACAAACUAAUCUAAGCUUUUUGUUCUUCUCAAGUAGCUAUUUUAUUUUGCUAAUUCUGUGUAUAGCUGCUAUUAAACAGAAGUCCUUUGAUGUCAGAUGCAAAGUUGAUGAAGUUUUUUUCUAUGUGAGAUGCUCUUGUUUA
rnacentral:lncRNA from 1 species